CCCCCCUUAGUGGAGAGUUGCCACCGGAUCCCAUAAGAACUCCAGAGUUAAGCGUGCUCGGGUGGGAGCAGUCCACGGAUGAGUGACCUCCAUGGGAAGUCCCGGGUACGUGUGCAUGCAUUGCGAGACACUUGCUGUGCAUGUG
rnacentral:rRNA from 1 species